UACAAACAUGCCUAAAAACACACACCAGCACACUUCGCAAACACACGCACACAACGCGCCAAAUGCACACGCUAUAUUUUUAGGGUGCAUUUUUCUACUGACUCAAAGUGCAAAAUAUAUCCGCUUCUAAAAUCUGAACGAAAGUAAACGAACUGAGACUUGAACUGGACUACGAAUUAUACGUUGGACUUAUUUUCACGUCUGACAAUAUAUUCAAUAUUUCUACCAACUACUCUGGUCCUCCCGUACUAUGUUCUCCUCCUACUAUAUGUUUUCUAAACGUCAAUAAAAAAAAUAAAAUAGUUUAACAAGAAAUGAAGCUUUCCUGCCGAUGAAAAUACCAAAACGAAAGUUAACUAAAACCAUUAUUGUUCAUGUAUGAUAAUAAAUUAAUGACUAAUACCAUAUGUCAUGUUUUGAGUAACAAUUGGAACACUUUUACCCAAAUACAAUUCAAUUGAGUGAUCCUUAUAUGUUUCUUCGCUAUCGUAAUACAAUUUAUCAACAUUUUAUAAGUUAGUAUGCAAGUAAUAACCCUGAGUAAUAUUAGGUUUCAAAUGACGGUUACCAAAUAUUAUCGAAAAAUGUUCACCGACUUUUUAUACGUAUAUCAAUUAGAUAGUAAAUGCUGUCAUUUGAAAACAAGUACAAUAAAUGCUUUUUUUAGUUGCCACAGAUUCGGUAGUUCCAAUUCGAUUAAUUGAAUAUCUGUAACAUAACUAGCAUAGCUAAACUAGUAUUAUUAGGUUAAUUUCCACUAAACUGUAGUUUUGUAAUUUAGUAUUCUUCCGAGCAAAAUUCCAGUUGAAUAAUCAACUUGAAUAUAAACCGAAAAUUUAAAAAAUCUAUUCUUCGAGAAUUUAAUUUUUUCGCAAAUAUUUUGAGAUCCUAUAAAAAACCUAUUGGAGUUAUGACCACAGUGGUGUAUGAAAAGUUCUUCGGAAUGAAGUUCAAAUCUUUAAAACAACUCAUUCACUGCAAAGCUAACGAUUUGUUUGUCUGUGAUAUUCCUAAAAUUCCUAUAUAAAUUUGUUUACAGCGGCACGAUAAUGGAAAGCCAAUUCUAUUUGAACUCAGCAAGAAGUUCAAGAAAAUGAGUUUAAAGAUCAUAUGAUUUAGGUCCCAUGCGCAUGCUGAACGAGAAUGAAACGCUCAACAAAUCGUUCAAUGGAUCUUGAUAUCUUGAAAGAAGUGGUGAUCCUUCUGAAAAAUUCAUUACUUCGCACGAAUUGGCAAAAAAAACUAGAAAAUUUCCAAAACAUCCAAAAUAGCGUAAAUUUUUUGCAUUUGAAUUUUUUACUCAUUUUCAACGAUCCCAAAGAUGGACAAAAAUGAGCAUUUAUAAACGUGGUUCAUGACAAAUGGGUACUACAUUCCCCAAAAUAUUUCAAAUUUGUCAUGCUUUGUGCAGAAAGCAUAAAAUUUUCGUCCAAAUUGACGUAUCCACAAAUGGUUCAAAUUGAAAAAAAUGCAAAACAAACUCCACACACAGGAAUUUCGGACAAAGCUUGAAACAAAGCCUACUAACUUCAUUAAAUCGCUCGGUUUACUACUGCGCACUAACAAGAUAGCUUUGCUGGUUUCCUUUUUGUAUCCGCUUACCACAUUAACGAAGCAUCACUUACUGAUCGAAUGACUUAACAAAACGAUGUUUUUCGACCCUCGUGACCAUAUGGUAACACGACGAAACUUGUACAAAAAUAUACAACAGACUAAACCCACAAACUAUAUUGUUUCGCAAAAACCCAAAACAUGCCAAACUACUCGCAGGAAUCGCAGCUAGCAGCCAGAUGCGCAUGCACCCACCUGGCAGUGACGCUCCCUUCAACGGAUCACGUCUCAGUCGGUUCAUCGAGAUGGACGAGGACAUGCAACGAAUCAAAUCCAAGCGGCACAGUAAGCCAACUUGAAGGAGCUCUAGCUGUAAAAAAAUAUCGUUUUGUAAAUAAUCCGAUUGCCAUAAUAGCUACCAUUUCGAGAAACAA